AUGAUUUUGGAUCCGACUGAGUGGCGAACUGGUGAGUAACACGUGGGUAACCUGCCCAGAAGAAGGGGAUAACACCUGGAAACAGAUGCUAAUACCGUAUAACAACAAGAACCACAUGGUUCUUGUUUGAAAGCUGGCCUUUGUGCUAGUGCUUCUGGAUGGACCCGCGGCGUAUUAGCUAGUUGGUGAGAUAAUAGCUCACCAAGGCAAUGAUACGUAGCAGACCUGAGAGGGUAAUCUGCCACAAUGGGACUGAGACACGGCCCAUACUCCUACGGGAGGCAGCAGUAGGGAAUCUUCCACAAUGGACGAAAGUCUGAUGGAGCAACGCCGCGUGAGUGAAGAAGGGUUUCGGCUCGUAAAACUCUGUUGUUAGAGAAGAACAGCCGUGAGAGCAACUGCUCACGGUAUGACGGUAUCUAACCAGAAAGUCACGGCUAACUACGUGCCAGCAGCCGCGGUAAUACGUAGGUGGCAAACGUUGUCCGGAUUUAUUGGGCGUAAAGGGAGCGCAGGCGGUUUAUUAAGUCUGAUGUGAAAGCCUUCGGCUUAACCGGAGAAGUGCAUCGGAAACUGAUAAACUUGAGUGCAGAAAAGGAUAGUGGAACUUCAUGUGUAGCGGUGAAAUGCGUAGAUAUAUGAAGGAACACCAGUGGCGAAGGCGGCUAUCUGGUCUGUAACUGACGCUGAGGCUCGAAAGCAUGGGUAGCAAACAGGAUUAGAUACCCUGGUAGUCCAUGCCGUAAACGAUG
rnacentral:rRNA from 2 species